rnacentral:lncRNA from 1 species
AAUAGAAUAUAGAGAAAUAAAAUAUAUAUUUCAUAUGAGUAUGUAUGUAAAUUUAUUUCUUUUAAAGAAAAAUUUCAGGAAACAAAAUGAAUAAGCUCCUAGUCAUAAAACCUCUAGUGAAAGCGUGUCAGUGGUCUGAUUUGUAGGCGAGCAGACUCAGGACUCAGGAAUUUUUUUUUUUUUUUUAAGAGACAGGGUCUCAUUCUGUCACCGAGGCUGGAGUGCGGGGAAGUGAAAGUAGCUCACUGCAGCCUCAAACUCCUGGGCUCAAGCUGCCCUCCCACCUCAGCUUCCAAGUAGUUGGGAUUACAGGUGCAAGCUGCUGCUCCUACCUGAAGAGUUUUAAUUAUAUAAAAUUCUUAAAUAAAUUGUUAUUCCUUUCUUUUAUGAAGAAAUAUAAUUGAUAUUCUUGUCACUUAUUCAAUAAGCACAUUUGUUAAAUAUUUAGCACCUACUGUGAAGAUAGCACUGUGCUAGCUGCUAUGAAGAAAUAAACUAGAAUAGCAUAUCACUGUUUUCCUAUGGACGAAAACCCAGAAAGGUAAAAUAAGUAGCCAUGAAUGGGUUGAGAUUCCCCCCACCCCCUUUGAAUACUAAUGACAGAAAUCUUAUAUGCGCUAUGUAAGCAGUGCCCUAGGGUCAGAACAGAAAGUAACUUGCAAUUUUUAAAGGUAGGAGAAAUGACCGAAGUUUGGAGUGGUCAGAGUUUCCCUGGAAGUCUCUUGCCUGUGGGACUUCGUAUGACUCACUCAGACUACCUGAGCCUGAGCUCCUCAUUUAUAAAAUGGAGGAGUUGAACCUAGCCUCCAAGGUCCCUUCUAGCCUCACCAUGCUCUGGUUUAUUGUUUAAUGAUAUGAAUCCAAGAUGGACAAAUGGUCGAUUUUGCUGCUUCUACAGUAGAUAGAUCUAUCUUCUUAAGUGGAAGUAAAAUAGUAAAGAAGACAUGUUUGAGGCCUGUUUGCAGGAUGCAUUGUAUCUCAUCAAGGAAUUGAGAAUGUAUCCCUAAAUAUUAGGAAGGAGUUGAAAGUUUCUGAGCAGGAACAGAACAUGCUGAAAGGAAAUUGAGUCAGCAGCAUGGCGUACUGGAGAGCUUGGCAGAGGAAGACAGGAGGCAAGAAGACCUGUGGGAGGCAGCCAGAAAGGAGGUGAAGAGGCCCGGCAAAGGAAGCCAAGGAUGAUUGAAGAGAGGCCAGGCGCGGUGGCUCAAGCCUGUAAUCCCAGCACUUUGGGAGGCCGAGACGGGCGGAUCACGAGGUCAGGAGAUCGAGACCAUCCUGGCUAACACGGUGAAACCCGUCUUUACUAAAAAUACAAAAACUAGCGAUGGUGGCGGGCGCCUGUAGUCCCAGCUACUCGGGAGGCUGAGGCAGGAGAAUGGCGUAAACCCGGAGGCGGAGCUUGCAGUGAGCUGAGAUCUGGCCACUGCACUCCAGCCUGGGCCACAGAGCGAGACUCCGUCUCAAAAAAAAAAAAAAAAAAAAAA